CCGGGGGCUUCGGGGUGGCCUCGGCCCCAGGCCAUCCAGCCCUGUGGACCGAAUGGAGUCCCGCACGCUGUUGAGGAUGGAUUCACUUGGCCACAUGGCGCGAAGCUGGGAAGACGGACACCGGCUGGGAAAGGGUUUCUUCUGUCCAUAAAAGCUACUCCAAUGGCUGUGGGAGACUUAAUUCCAAUUCCAGGUGAUACAGCCGUCAAUCUCCCACUAGCUGUAGGAUGGUGUGUGUGCUGCAGUUCACAGGGCAAAGGAGAUAGAAGUGGAUGAAAUGAGAGAAUUUUCUUUAAUUGAACUCUGGUUAAUGCCAAAAGUGUUCAAUCACUAUGUGUGGGGAAGUUUCCUGGUACAAAGGAAAAAAAAACAGACCUAAGUCAGUGUUAGUCUACCACUGUACAUCUGGUAACCUCAAUCCCUGCAACCGGGGCAAAAUGGGUUUCCAGGUCUUGGCAACCUUUGAAAUUCCAAUUCCAUUUGAGAGAGCUUUGACGAGGCCAUAUGCUGAUUUCACCACCAGCAACUUCAGAACCCAGUACUGGAAUGCCAUCAGCCAGCAGGCCCCUGCCAUCAUCUAUGACUUCUAUCUGUGGCUCACUGGAAGGAAACCCAGGCAAGGCCAAGAUGGCUCAAAGAGCAACCAGCCACCUCUGCAGCCUGCCACCUCCUGCUGGCAAGAUUUGUUUUUGCAUCCUGUGAAGAGCCAAGGAGGCACCAGGGCAUAAGUCUACUCACUUAUAUCUGUCUGGAACAUAACGCUUGUUUGUUUUUACAACAAAUAAAAUUGAUCUUGAAUAAAAACUGAGUGGUCAUUGUCAUUAAUCUUUGAAGCCAGAUUAACCUUUUGGUCAUGCCUAGUCUAAGAGAAAAGAGAUACUCUU
rnacentral:lncRNA from 1 species